UGCUACAAUACUUUCAAAUUUUACUGCUUUCAUAAUCUUUACCUUUCUCUGCAUGUGUAUCGUGCCAUCAUUUGUUUGAGCCUUUUGGAUUCAACUGCUUCAUAAUCUCUUAUCUGCCUUUUUUCUCUCCAGCGCUUUUGGUUCUCUUUUCUCCGCGAUACUCUUUUUUCUUUGCUUAGUCGUUGAUGUUUCAUCUAGAACGUAUUGUCCUUAUACGCUUUAUAUGUGCUGAGAGCACAGGAUCUGUGUGUGCUACGUGCCUUUACACGACUGAGUGUUUUGCUGGCCGUGCUCUUAUUUGAUAUUGGUUGUAAGUAGGGCGUCUUUUAAGUGUCUUCCGAGAACUUCCGAGAAGAUCACAUCUCGUCGCCCUGCUUUUCCUUUCCAAGAUUUUUUUUUAUAAUAGAUAUAUAUAUAUAUAUAUAUAUAUAUAUA